rnacentral:misc_RNA from 1 species
UCCGGUUUGUCACCGGCAGUCUCCUAUGAGUCCCCGACAUAACUCGCUGGCAACAUAGGACAGGGGUUGCGCUCGUUGCGGGACUUAACCCAACACCUCACGACACGAGCUGACGACAACCAUGCACCACCUGUAUACCGCCCUUGCGGACCCCAUAUCUCUAUGAGUUUUCGGUAUAUGUCAAGCCUUGGUAAGGUUCUUCGCGUUGCGUCGAAUUAAACCACAUACUCCACCGCUUGUGCGGGCCCCCGUCAAUUCCUUUGAGUUUCAGUCUUGCGACCGUACUCCCCAGGCGGAAUGCUUAAUGCGUUAGCUGCGCCACCGACGGGCAAGCCCGCCAACGGCUGGCAUUCAUCGUUUACGGCGUGGACUAC